CUCUUCUAUAACACAUCGAAACAAUGGAAUUAGAGUUUAAAAAAUAGCUGAUUUGACAGAUCUGUCACAACUUCUUAUUACUCUGCAUUGUCUUUGUUUUAAUGAAUAGGUCUGUGCACUAGAGGAGGCUACUACAAAGAGAAGGACUUGUCUUUGUUGGUGCAUACAGUCUAAACUACCAUGGAAGAGGGAGGCUUUGGGAAAAAUUAGGCUCAUACCUUUCAAAGAACACUUCAGAAUGGAACGGAUAGAGAAUAGUAGGAACAACAGAAAUUUUAUACUGAGAAGGAAACUUCCUCAGAGAAGCAUGAAGAGAACAGUCUUCUCUGCUACUUAUUGAACACAUAUUAUCUAUAAUAACAAUGGCCAGUCUUCGCGAGCGAAGAUCCGGGGAAGGUCUUUACACCUUCCAGCCUGCGCAUUGGAUUUUUUAGGUUAAAUAAAGGUGGCCUAUCUGCCUGAGUCAACACUGGUGAUUUCCAAAGAACGGUAACAAAACUGGUGAAAAAUCUAGAGAACAAAUUCUCUCAGGACCGACUGAGGGAACUGGGAUUGUUUAUCCUGGAGAAAAAGAGGCUCAGGGGAGACUUUAUCCCUCUUUACAAAUACCUGAAAGGUGGUUGUAGGAAGACGGAAGACACAGAGAAGACUUGAAAACAAAGCUGCUGUGAGAGUUGAAGAGACAUCUUGCUGGUGAUACCGGUCCAGUCCCUCUAUGGAAUUGCCUGACUCUCUCAUCUGUUUCUACCAUGAUAACUACUUAAAACUGACUGAACUAUUAAUGGGAACAGUUUGUAAGCUUUUUGUUAACAGUGGAAACAACUGGAAGAGGCAGAUGGAGCCAAGAAUAAACUGCAUUCCAGACAUCGGAGAUACCAACAUACAGAGGGCACGGAGACAGCAACGGCGUGGAGCACCAGCACAGACUGGAGUGGCUUUGCAGCCAUACUGAAAGUAGACCGGAGGCAGCACAGGGCGAGCAAAGCCAGAGCAGAGCAUGCCGCUCCCUGACAGGAUUAGGCCCCACUGCCUGUGGUGAGGAGGGUCCCGGAGGACCCGGAGCUGCAGUACUCAACAGUUAUAAUAUUGCCAACACAGCUUUCUCAGUAGCGUGCCAAAGCUGCCGAAUCUGCAGCAGCUUAAAAAAAAAAAAAAAAA